UUUUAUCAUAUCUCUUCUAAUUGUUAUUAAUUGUAAUGUUCUUCAGGUACAGCCAUAACUGGUUAUCAAUACAAUGGAACGUAUCAUGAAAUCGGUAAAGGAAAUCCACAAUGGCCACAAGCCUUCUAUCCAGUGAAGGAAGUAAUUGAAGUCAAACCAGGAGAUGCUUUAGCUGUUAGAUGCACUUAUAACUCAAGCUCGAUGGAUCAUCCUGUUGGUGUUGGGUCAACAGGCAAUGAUGAGAUGUGCAAUUAUUACAUCAUGUUCUACACAGUUCUGUGGCUGACCCAUCAGGAGAAUGUGCUUUCAAUGAACUUACACAGCUGACUGGAAAAAACUUUACCAUUGAUGUCAGCGUUCCUCUUCCACCCAAUCCAGCCCUUG
rnacentral:sRNA from 1 species